UCGUUUGGGUUGGGCGUCGGCUAAGAGUGCUUAGAGUGUGGAUUAACUCCAGUCUCCUAUCAGGUGUGUAUUUUCUCGCUACUCUAGCUAUAGGAUGGCUACUUCGGGCCGCGAUGGGCCGAAAGGGGUCAUGUGGGCCUAAUGGGCCUACGGGCCCAAUUGGAUAAGUUGUUUGAUUGUGUAGUAAAUAUUGGACUAGGCUAGGUGAAUCUCAUAUUUGUGGCUAGAUUUAGGCUAAAAGAGUCACACGAGCGUGUGGGCCCAUUUGAGCCGAGAAUAGGCUUUAGGCCCAUUCGUAUUAUUAUCCCUAUUUAGAAUACUUUAGUUUACCAAAUUACUGAAAUGCCCUCGAUUUGUAAAAUUACCAUUUUACCUUCGAUUUAUAGAAUUACCGUUUCACCAUCGAUUUAAAAAAUUAAUAUUUUACCCUCGAUUUACAAAAUUACCAUUUUACCCUCAAUUUACAAAAUUACCUUUUUACCCUCGAUUGUGAAAUUACUGAAAUACCCCUGUAGGAUAGAAUUACCAAAAUACCCCUAGUUUGUAAAAUUACCAAAAUACCCCUAGUUUGUAAAAUUACCGAAAUACCAAUGGUUUGUGAAAUUACCGAAAUACCCUCAAUUUGUAAAAUUACCAAAAUACCUUUGAUUUACAAAAUUAUAGAAAUACCCUUGACUUUCUAAAAAUUAUAAAAAUACCAUUGAUUUACAAAAUUACUGAAAUACCCUUGGUUUGUAGAUUUACCAAAACACCCUUGUAGGAUGAAAUGACUAAAAUACCCCUAAUAGGUAAAAAGACCGUAAAGCCCCUGUAGGGUAAAGUGACCGUAAUACCCUUAUAUGGUAAAAUGACGAAUACGCCCUUAUGUUCCGUAUGACUGAUGUGCUUAGGAUUUACAUAUAUUUAUAUUGGAUUAGUUAAGUUUGAGUGACAGGUGGUGGUUAUCGUAGGUGAUUGAUUAUGGAAACGUUUCAACUUCAACCCAUAACAGGUGUGUACUAACCCUCGUAGUAGCUUAGAUUAAUAUCUGCUGAGAAGCUGAAAUGCUAAAAUACCGGUAUUUCGGGAACUUGUAAUGUUGCGUGUGGGUAUAGAUGUGAUAAAUACGAUAAGAUCGGUGUUUGGAUCGAUGGAACGGGUAAGAACUCAAUUUUGUGCACGAUGGUAAGUUGGGCCUCAAUGGGCAGGAAUUGGGCCAAAUGGGCUUUUAGUCCCAUUUGGGUAAAACUGAUAGAAAAUGGAAUUUGGAAAAUUUGCAUAUUAACACGGUUAGUAUUGUUGUAAAAUUUGGGUUAAGCAGGCUUAGUGGGCUAAAUCAGCAUUCGUAGGGCCCAUUAGGGGUUUUGGGCCCAAAAGCCCGAAUUUGAUAAAGUGGGAUUUAAACACUCGAAAAUAUUGACAAUUGUAAUGAACAUGGAAAACGCUGAUUUUUGGUAAAAUUAUGAAAAUACCCUUAUAAUAUGAAAAAUGACUGUUUUUCCCUUGUGGGCAAGUGACUAACUUGGACUGUGUGGUUGACGGAUUUGAUUGUGAAUAUAUGUUGGUGAUAUGAAUGACUUAACUGUGAUUGUUUGAUUCAAAUAUGGGCAUGACAUUCUGCAUACACGACAUGUUGCAUGGGUUGGGUUUUAUAAAUGAAGGAAGUGCUAAAAGGGCUAUGCCCUAGUUUACCGAAAAGGGCUUUGCCCUAGUUUACCGAAAAGGGCUUUGCCCCAGUUUAUCAAAAGGGCUUUGCCCCAGUUAUUAAAAGAGGCUAGGCCUCCAGAUAUAUGAUAAAGUAGCUAUGCUGCCAGUGGUGUGUUGGUUGGGUGGGUUGAAUCAUUCCCCACAUGGUGUGUUGGUUGGUACGGGUGGAGAGUAGCGGAUGGUGGGUCAAGUAGUCUCCCCAAAUGGGCUUGCAUACAUCCAUUGACAUUACAUGUGAUAUUAAAAUGGGCCUAAGGGCCAUACUGUUUACAGUAAAGGCUUCGGCCCAGUGAUAUGAUUUAUGAAAAGGUUUUGGCCCAGAGAUAUGAUUUAUGAUAAGGCUUCGGCCCAGUGAUAUGAUUUAUGAUAAGGCUUCGGCCCAGUGAUAUGAUUUAUGAAAAGGCUUCGGCCCAGUAACUGUUAAACGAAAGGCUUCGGCCCAGUAUAUGCCAAGACUAAAUAGGGCUUUGGCCCGGAUUGUUCUGACACUGUGUUUUCACUGUUUGUUUGUUAUUGGGAUUACACACUGAGUUUUCGUAAACUCACCCCGUUUCUAACUGUGCAGGUAAUCCCUAAGCUUAGAUGGUUUGGAGCUGUGAGGGACUCGGAGAUGGCCACGCUACUGUUUCUAUUUCUUUUAAUUGCAAUAAGUAGCCGAUUUAUUUCUUUAUAAGUUUUAUCCUAUUAAUAUUAUUAUUUGGUUUUGGGUUGUAAUAAGG
rnacentral:lncRNA from 1 species